CAGAGGAAGGACCUAUGCUAAGUAUGGCCGUCCGCACGAAACGUGCGAAAAGAGUGUAGUGCGACGAGUACCUAUUUUAAAUCCUGAUGGGUCGGAAAGGCUCUGUUUACAGAUGCAUUAGAAAGCGAAGAUAUACAACUGUUUUAAGAAAAGCCAAUGAAGCAAGGAAAAAUCAGAAAACUGCCAAUUCAUGUUCUGUUUCGGUAGAUUCGGAAAAAGUCGAUACACACGCGACGAUACCGAUUGCCAAAGUUCCUUUGUCAGACGAACCUUUAAUGCAAGCACUUAACGAGAUAGAUACGACCAUAGAAAAAGAA